rnacentral:rRNA from 1 species
GUUAAGCGACUAAGCGUACACGGUGGAUGCCCUGGCAGUCAGAGGCGAUGAAGGACGUGCUAAUCUGCGAUAAGCGUCGGUAAGGUGAUAUGAACCGUUAUAACCGGCGAUUUCCGAAUGGGGAAACCCAGUGUGUUUCGACACACUAUCAUUAACUGAAUCCAUAGGUUAAUGAGGCGAACCGGGGGAACUGAAACAUCUAAGUACCCCGAGGAAAAGAAAUCAACCGAGAUUCCCCCAGUAGCGGCGAGCGAACGGGGAGCAGCCCAGAGCCUGAAUCAGUAUGUGUGUUAGUGGAAGCGUCUGGAAAGGCGCGCGAUACAGGGUGACAGCCCCGUACACAAAAAUGCACAUGCUGUGAGCUCGAUGAGUAGGGCGGGACACGUGGUAUCCUGUCUGAAUAUGGGGGGACCAUCCUCCAAGGCUAAAUACUCCUGACUGACCGAUAGUGAACCAGUACCGUGAGGGAAAGGCGAAAAGAACCCCGGCGAGGGGAGUGAAAAAGAACCUGAAACCGUGUACGUACAAGCAGUGGGAGCACGCUUAGGCGUGUGACUGCGUACCUUUUGUAUAAUGGGUCAGCGACUUAUAUUCUGUAGCAAGGUUAACCGAAUAGGGGAGCCGAAGGGAAACCGAGUCUUAACUGGGCGUUAAGUUGCAGGGUAUAGACCCGAAACCCGGUGAUCUAGCCAUGGGCAGGUUGAAGGUUGGGUAACACUAACUGGAGGACCGAACCGACUAAUGUUGAAAAAUUAGCGGAUGACUUGUGGCUGGGGGUGAAAGGCCAAUCAAACCGGGAGAUAGCUGGUUCUCCCCGAAAGCUAUUUAGGUAGCGCCUCGUGAAUUCAUCUCCGGGGGUAGAGCACUGUUUCGGCAAGGGGGUCAUCCCGACUUACCAACCCGAUGCAAACUGCGAAUACCGGAGAAUGUUAUCACGGGAGACACACGGCGGGUGCUAACGUCCGUCGUGAAGAGGGAAACAACCCAGACCGCCAGCUAAGGUCCCAAAGUCAUGGUUAAGUGGGAAACGAUGUGGGAAGGCCCAGACAGCCAGGAUGUUGGCUUAGAAGCAGCCAUCAUUUAAAGAAAGCGUAAUAGCUCACUGGUCGAGUCGGCCUGCGCGGAAGAUGUAACGGGGCUAAACCAUGCACCGAAGCUGCGGCAGCGACACUAUGUGUUGUUGGGUAGGGGAGCGUUCUGUAAGCCUGUGAAGGUGUGCUGUGAGGCAUGCUGGAGGUAUCAGAAGUGCGAAUGCUGACAUAAGUAACGAUAAAGCGGGUGAAAAGCCCGCUCGCCGGAAGACCAAGGGUUCCUGUCCAACGUUAAUCGGGGCAGGGUGAGUCGACCCCUAAGGCGAGGCCGAAAGGCGUAGUCGAUGGGAAACAGGUUAAUAUUCCUGUACUUGGUGUUACUGCGAAGGGGGGACGGAGAAGGCUAUGUUGGCCGGGCGACGGUUGUCCCGGUUUAAGCGUGUAGGCUGGUUUUCCAGGCAAAUCCGGAAAAUCAAGGCUGAGGCGUGAUGACGAGGCACUACGGUGCUGAAGCAACAAAUGCCCUGCUUCCAGGAAAAGCCUCUAAGCAUCAGGUAACAUCAAAUCGUACCCCAAACCGACACAGGUGGUCAGGUAGAGAAUACCAAGGCGCUUGAGAGAACUCGGGUGAAGGAACUAGGCAAAAUGGUGCCGUAACUUCGGGAGAAGGCACGCUGAUAUGUAGGUGAAGCGACUUGCUCGUGGAGCUGAAAUCAGUCGAAGAUACCAGCUGGCUGCAACUGUUUAUUAAAAACACAGCACUGUGCAAACACGAAAGUGGACGUAUACGGUGUGACGCCUGCCCGGUGCCGGAAGGUUAAUUGAUGGGGUUAGCGCAAGCGAAGCUCUUGAUCGAAGCCCCGGUAAACGGCGGCCGUAACUAUAACGGUCCUAAGGUAGCGAAAUUCCUUGUCGGGUAAGUUCCGACCUGCACGAAUGGCGUAAUGAUGGCCAGGCUGUCUCCACCCGAGACUCAGUGAAAUUGAACUCGCUGUGAAGAUGCAGUGUACCCGCGGCAAGACGGAAAGACCCCGUGAACCUUUACUAUAGCUUGACACUGAACAUUGAGCCUUGAUGUGUAGGAUAGGUGGGAGGCUUAGAAGUGUGGACGCCAGUCUGCAUGGAGCCGACCUUGAAAUACCACCCUUUAAUGUUUGAUGUUCUAACGUUGACCCGUAAUCCGGGUUGCGGACAGUGUCUGGUGGGUAGUUUGACUGGGGCGGUCUCCUCCUAAAGAGUAACGGAGGAGCACGAAGGUUGGCUAAUCCUGGUCGGACAUCAGGAGGUUAGUGCAAUGGCAUAAGCCAGCUUGACUGCGAGCGUGACGGCGCGAGCAGGUGCGAAAGCAGGUCAUAGUGAUCCGGUGGUUCUGAAUGGAAGGGCCAUCGCUCAACGGAUAAAAGGUACUCCGGGGAUAACAGGCUGAUACCGCCCAAGAGUUCAUAUCGACGGCGGUGUUUGGCACCUCGAUGUCGGCUCAUCACAUCCUGGGGCUGAAGUAGGUCCCAAGGGUAUGGCUGUUCGCCAUUUAAAGUGGUACGCGAGCUGGGUUUAGAACGUCGUGAGACAGUUCGGUCCCUAUCUGCCGUGGGCGCUGGAGAACUGAGGGGGGCUGCUCCUAGUACGAGAGGACCGGAGUGGACGCAUCACUGGUGUUCGGGUUGUCAUGCCAAUGGCACUGCCCGGUAGCUAAAUGCGGAAGAGAUAAGUGCUGAAAGCAUCUAAGCACGAAACUUGCCCCGAGAUGAGUUCUCCCUGACCCUUUAAGGGUCCUGAAGGAACGUUGAAGACGACGACGUUGAUAGGCCGGGUGUGUAAGCGCAGCGAUGCGUUGAGCUAACCGGUACUAAUGAACCGUGAGGCUUAACC